UCCACAGGGAUGCUGACCCAUGUUGACUCUACAAGGUGUUGAAAGUGUUCCACAGGGAUGCUGGCCCAUGUUGACUCUACAAGGUGUUGAAAGUGUUCCACAGGGAUGCUGGCCCAUGUUGACUCUACAAGGUGUUGAAAGCGUUCCACAGGGAUGCUGGCCCAUGUUGACUCUACAAGGUGUUGAAAGCGUUCCACAGGGAUGCUGGCCCAUGUUGACUCUACAAGGUGUUGAAAGCGUUCCACAGGGAUGCUGGCCCAUGUUGACUCUACAAGGUGUUGAAAGCGUUCCACAGGGAUGCUGGCCCAUGUUGACUCUACAAGGUGUCGAAAGCGUUCCACAGGGAUGCUGGCCCAUGUUGACUCUACAAGGUGUCCAAAGCGUUCCACAGGGAUGCUGGCCCAUGUUGACUCUACAAGGUGUUGAAAGCGUUCCACAGGGAUGCUGGCCCAUGUUGACUCUACAAGGUGUUGAAAGCGUUCCACAGGGAUGCUGACCCAUGUUGACUCUACAAGGUGUUGAAAGUGUUCCACAGGGAUGCUGGCCCAUGUUGACUCUACAAGGUGUUGAAAGCGUUCCACAGGGAUGCUGACCCAUGUUGACUCUACAAGGUGUUGAAAGCGUUCCACAGGGAAGCUGACCCAUGUUGACU